rnacentral:rRNA from 1 species
UAGGCUGCAACUCGCCUACAUGAAGUCGGAAUUGCUAGUAAUCGCGGAUCAGCAUGCCGCGGUGAAUACGUUCCCGGGCCUUGUACACACCGCCCGUCACACCAUGGGAGUCGGUAAUACCCGAAGUCAGUAGUCCAACCUCGUGAGGACGCUGCCGAAGGUAGGAUUGGCGACUGGGGUGAAGUCGUAACAAGGUAUC